UACGAAGGGGGCUAGCGUUGUUCGGAAUUACUGGGCGUAAAGCGCACGUAGGCGGAUACUUAAGUUAGGGGUGAAAUCCCAGAGCUCAACUCUGGAACUGCCUCUAAUACUGGGUAUCUCGAGUUCGAGAGAGGUGAGUGGAAUUCCGAGUGUAGAGGUGAAAUUCGUAGAUAUUCGGAGGAACACCAGUGGCGAAGGCGGCUCACUGGCUCGAUACUGACGCUGAGGCGCGAAAGCGUGGGGAGCAAACAGG
rnacentral:rRNA from 1 species